rnacentral:lncRNA from 1 species
CCAUUCUGCUGUAUUUGAAAAUAUAUGACCUGGAACUGUAAUAGUGUCUGAUUGGUUGGCCAGGAAAAUAUGGACGGGGGGGGGGGGGGACGCGGCGGCGGAACAGACGACACCCAUAUUAGUACUGGAGGAGCGUUGUGUAAUCCAAUUUUAUGCGCUACAAUAAUGGAGUGUCGAAGAUACUGCUUGCCAGCAGAUGGCAGCAAAACGGAAAAAAGGAGAAACGAAGCGAGGCUACAGUGGACAAAAGAUUUGAGAUUUCUAAACAGCUUUAGUUUCACUAGCCUGUUUUUGAUAUGCAAGGGUCCAGCUGCAGAUUUAGAUUUUUCUGGUACCAGUCAAUGCAAUUCUUGUCCUUCAUGAGAGGUAAGAAAUACAUUUCAUAAUCCAUUAUUGAUCUUUCAAGGAUGUGGUUGUCUUUAAGUUCACAGAACAUGCUUUUGAAUUAAGGGUUUUGUAUGGUGAUUUUAAGUUGCCCUUUAAUUGUUUAAAAGUCUUGCUGCUCAUGCAUAACUUUUUCACUGGGUCACUGACACUUUUGCUGCAUAAAUCUCAUUCAUAGUGCGUGGUGUGGCAUGUUUCUGAAUGCUUACCCAAAUUUUAAUAGGUUUGAUGUUUAAACUAUAUUUUUAUAUGAGUAUUCUUGAGGGAAAUUCUAGCUACUUACUGCAAGUGUAAUCUGUUUCAUUUUAUACAUUGAUGCAUACUGGCUUGUCAAUCUUAAUUGUCAUACUGAUUUUGGCCAUUUUUACCAAUUUGUGUAGAAGCAUUCUUUCUUUCUGCCUCAUUCAUCUUCCCAGCAAAUAUUUUGACACUUGAAGUAAUAUGCUCCCAGUUUUUGAAAAAGUCCAACCAGUUUUAACGAUGGGCUCUAGGGAUCUUUGGCUGUAAUUGGCCCAGGAUUAGUUUAAAUAUGUAUGUCAUUGCUCAAUACAGAAUCUGUUGUUUCAAGACCAGCGGAAGGCAGAACUUCUCUUAGUAAUUAGAAAUAGAAAGUUUUAUUUGUGGAUGAUAUCUGAAAAAGGCAAAUAAGGGAAACAGAGAAGGCCCAGUCUGUCAGCAGGAUAUUGCCUAGGGUGGACACUGGCUAUUAUCCUGCAAUUCCCUGGUUGGCCCCCCAAUAAAAAGCUGGAAUGGGGAGUACUCA